rnacentral:rRNA from 2 species
GAUAGUAGCAGUGGCUAUACAUGCAGUCGAGCGGAUCGAUGGGAGCUUGCUCCCUGAGAUCAGCGGCGGACGGGUGAGUAACACGUGGGUAACCUGCCUGUAAGACUGGGAUAACUCCGGGAAACCGGGGCUAAUACCGGAUAACACCUACCCCCGCAUGGGGGAAGGUUGAAAGGUGGCUUCGGCUAUCACUUACAGAUGGACCCGCGGCGCAUUAGCUAGUUGGUGAGGUAAUGGCUCACCAAGGCGACGAUGCGUAGCCGACCUGAGAGGGUGAUCGGCCACACUGGGACUGAGACACGGCCCAGACUCCUACGGGAGGCAGCAGUAGGGAAUCUUCCGCAAUGGACGAAAGUCUGACGGAGCAACGCCGCGUGAGUGAAGAAGGUUUUCGGAUCGUAAAACUCUGUUGUUAGGGAAGAACAAGUGCCGUUCGAAUAGGGCGGCGCCUUGACGGUACCUAACCAGAAAGCCACGGCUAACUACGUGCCAGCAGCCGCGGUAAUACGUAGGUGGCAAGCGUUGUCCGGAAUUAUUGGGCGUAAAGCGCGCGCAGGUGGUUUCUUAAGUCUGAUGUGAAAGCCCACGGCUCAACCGUGGAGGGUCAUUGGAAACUGGGGAACUUGAGUGCAGAAGAGGAAAAGUGGAAUUCCAAGUGUAGCGGUGAAAUGCGUAGAUAUUUGGAGGAACACCAGUGGCGAAAGCGACUUUCUGGUCUGUAACUGACACUGAGCGCGAAAAGCGUGGGGAGCAAACAGGAUUAUAUACCCUGGUAGUCCACGCCGUAAACGAUGAGUGCUAAGUGUUAGAGGGUUUCUGCCCUUUUAGUGCUGCAGCUAACGCAUCAAGCACUCCGCCUGGGCGAGUACGGCGGCAGACUGACACUCAAAGGAUUUGAAGGGGGCCAGCACAAGCGGGGACCUGUGGUUUAAUUCGAGCACCUCUAAGAA